rnacentral:rRNA from 1 species
GAUGAACGCUGGCGGCGUGCCUAAUACAUGCAAGUCGAGCGAACGGACGAGAAGCUUGCUUCACUGAUGUUAGCGGCGGACGGGUGAGUAACACGUGGAUAACCUACCUAUAAGACUGGGAUAAAUUCGGGAAACCGUAGCUAAUACCGGAUAAUAUUUUGAACAGCAUGGUUCAAAAGUGAAAGACGGUCUUGCGGUCACUUAUAGAUGGAUCCGCGCUGCAUUAGCUAGUUGGUAAGGUAACGGCUUACCAAGGCAACGAUGCAUAGCCGGCCUGAGAGGGUGAUCGGCCACACUGGAACUGAGACACGGCCCAGACUCCUACGGGAGGCAGCAGUAGGGAAUUUUCCACAAUGGGCGAAAGCCUGACGGAGCAACGCCGCGUGAGUGAUGAAGGUCUUCGGAUCGUAAAACUCUGUUAUUAGGGAAGAAAAUAUGUGUAAGUAACUGUGCAGAUCUUGACGGUACCUGAUCAGAAAGCCACGGCUAACUACGUG